GUGAUUCUCCCUGCUGGGAAAUGCUGGGUGACCAGCAGGGGGUGACCACGUGGUGUUGGUGACAUUGACUGUCCUUUACACUUUAGGGCAGGUAGCAACAUCCCUGUUCCUACCCACUAGAUGUCAGUAGCAACCUCCAACCCUUCCAGUUGUGACAACAGAAAUGCCAGGAGAUGUCAAAUAUUCCCCACAGGACAGCAGUGCCCCACUGAGAUUCAUGGAGUUACAGUGACUUCAUUGCACAGCUGUUCCAUCAGGUCCCAGAUACUACCGCAUGACAGGACCUGGGAGAGCAAAAGCAAAGCCUUGGAAUCCCUGUGAGUUAUCCAACAGGCUUGCCUGUGGGGUCCACUCAGGUCAGGCCUCAUUGCCGUGACCAGACGCCUGACAAGAAGCACUUAAGGAAGAAUGUUCAUCUUCCAAGUGUACUGGCUAGUUUUGUGUCAACUUGACACAAGCUGGAGUUAUCACAGAGAAAGGAGCUUCAGUUGGGGAAAUGCCUCCAUGAGAUCCAGCUGUAAGGCAUUUUCUCAAUUAGUGAUUGUCUUAGUCAGGGUUUCUAUUCCUGCACAAACAUCAUGACCAAGAAGCAAGUUGGGGAGGAAAGGGUUUAUUCGGCUUACACUUCCAUGCUGCUGUUCAUCACCAAAGGAAGUCAGGACUGGAACUCAGGCAGGUCAGGAAGCAGGAGCUGAUGCAGAGGCCAUGGAGGGAUGUUCCUUACUGGCUUGCCUCCUCUGGCUUGCUCAGCCUGCUUUCUUAUAGAACCAAGACUACCAGCCCUGAGAUGGUCCCACCCACAAGGGGCCUUUCCCCCUUGAUCACUAAUUGAGAAAAUGCCUUACAGUUGGAUCUCAUGGAGGCAUUUCCUCAACUGAAGCUCCUUUCUCUGUGAUAACUCCAGCUGGGUCAAGUUGACACAAAACUAGCCAGUACAG
rnacentral:lncRNA from 1 species